rnacentral:lncRNA from 1 species
GUNUCUCGUGCCACAUCCGCCGAAGAAAGACUUCAUCAAGAUGCUGGAGAACGAUCACAAAGUUCUACGAUACGCCGCCAGGCUGGAUUCGGUGAGAGAGGAAGACAAGAACAGGAGGUUUGUGAUUUCCUACCGGCUAGCAGACGACAUGAUGACCAUCUACGAACCGCCCGUCCGAAACUCUGGCAUUAUCGGAGGAAAGUUCCUGGAGCGUACGCGGGUGUG